rnacentral:rRNA from 1 species
UAACGCGAAGAACCUUACCAAGGCUUGACAUAUACCGGAAAGCAUCAGAGAUGAUGCCCCCCUUGUGGUCGGUAUACAGGUGGUGCAUGGCUGUCGUCAGCUCGUGUCGUGAGAUGUUGGGUUAAGUCCCGCAACGAGCGCAACCCUUGUUCUGUGUUGCCAGCAUGCCCUUCGGGGUGAUGGGGACUCACAGGAGACUGCCGGGGUCAACUCGGAGGAAGGUGGGGACGACGUCAAGUCAUCAUGCCCCUUAUGUCUUGGGCUGCACACGUGCUACAAUGGCCGGUACAAUGAGCUGCGAUGCCGCGAGGCGGAGCGAAUCUCAAAAAGCCGGUCUCAGUUCGGAUUGGGGUCUGCAACUCGACCCCAUGAAGUCGGAGUUGCUAGUAAUCGCAGAUCAGCAUUGCUGCGGUGAAUACGUUCCCGGGUCUUGUACACACCGA